UCAUGUAUGUUACAAAUAUGGGAUCCCCACUGAAACAUGUUCACGGUGAAUAAUAUAUGUCAAAUGAGGAAAGAGCCAAGAAGUGUGUGCUGCGUUGUAUUCUGGCCUUUCGCUUCCCAUAACAUAGAACGCGGUUGUACCCUGACUGUGGCCGAUGUAAUAUAAUUGGGAAUGACCAGUUUUCUCUAAGACAUAAUCUAUCAUCGCUGGUAUAUCGUAGUAUCCAAUCUCGUGCCAGCUGCAACAGAAGUAUUUCCACGAGCAUUUGCGAGCCAAACAUCGAAUCCAUUGUCACAAAGAGUGUAUGCUGAAAUGUGAAAAAUUAUAUGAUACAAAAUAAGUAUAUAACAUCUUAAAAAUAUAUAAUCAUCAUAUCACUAAUCUCUAAUGAUUGCUAAGCUCAUAAUCGAAUGAUUAAAUAAAUAAUAAAGACGCAAAAUGAAAA